GUCGGGAGUCUUGCACAAUGGGGGAAACCCUGAUGCAGCGACGUCGCGUGUGGGAUGAAGUAUUUCGGUAUGUAAACCACUUUUGCGGGGGGCGAAAAAAAUGACGGUACCCCGCGAAUAAGCCCCGGCUAACUACGUGCCAGCAGCCGCGGUAAUACGUAGGGGGCGAGCGUUGCUCGGAUUGACUGGGCGUAAAGCGCGCGUAGGCGGUCCAUUAAGUGUGCGGUGAAAUUCGGAGGCUCAACCUCCGUCCGGCCGCGCAAACUGAUGGUCUUGAGAUUGGGAGGGGGAUGCGGAAUUCCUGGUGUAGCGGUGAAAUGCAUUGAUAUCAGGAGGAACACCGGCGGCGAAAGCGGCAUCCUGGCUUAUAUCUGACGCUGAGGCGCGAAAGCGUGGGUAGCAAACGGGAUUAGAAACCCGUGUAGUCC
rnacentral:rRNA from 1 species